rnacentral:lncRNA from 1 species
CGGACAAUCGUAGGAAUAUGAAGGUAAUCUCACCCUUGUUGGUGCAAGCGACGCCGCGAAGCUCCGGGCUCCUGUCACCCCCUACGAGAUUCCUCUCCCCGCAGAUUUUCCUGGCCAUCGACUGUAAGCAAAUUUGAGCAUGAUCUUGGAGCAUGGUUUGAACGAACAAUCCAGCACUUCGAAUUUUCGUGCAGUGCUACCGACACGCAGCAGCCAACGAACCGCUAACGAUGAUGGAUGAGAAGCCUCCUACUCCUGCAUCGAGUCCAAGGAUCGACUAUAAUGUAUGUACCUAUACACCCUCGUAUACGUACGCAAUGAGCGAUAGAUGACACCCGACCUACGAAAGAUCUAUUACAGGAAAAUCAAGUUUUGUUCAACUGACGAUGAAUUGAAGCCUCCAAUCAAUCGAGAUGAAGCGCUCGCGUCUUCGAGGACUACAGGCUCUUCGUUUUCGUUGGUUCUCGUCAAUUUCCGAUCAUCGUUCUUUACAAUUUAUUCAGGUAUAUGCGUGAUAAAAGUUGAGUGACGUGGAAUAACGUGAAAGCGUGCGUGAUCAUCUUACCCGUUGUAUCUCGUUCAUCUUUGUCACCUGCUUCCCAAACUCCCAAAGAUCGACGCCGAACUUGAGCGCCCAGUU